rnacentral:rRNA from 1 species
UUGAAAGGGAAACGAUUGAAGUCAGUCGUACCGACGAGAAAUCAGCUCUUCGAGUGCGAACUUGUGGGUGUGCGUGAGUCUUUACGGGCCUCGCCGUUUGCAUGUUUGUGCUUUUAGGUGUACUUUUUCGUAUGGUAGCCAACGUCAGUUUCGAUUACCGUAAAAUGAUCGGAGUAAUGUAGCUUCGAUCUCGUAUUGAAGUGUUAUAGCCUCUGGUAGAUGCGGUGACCGAAACUGAGGAUUGCAACGAAUACCCUUUGGGCUAUCCGUCUGACCUCUGAAAGUUGCUUAAGUGCCGAAAGCUUGCUUACGGCUAUUUAAGAUGACGGUCAAAAGGUUAGAACGUGAUUACAUUCGUUAAGGAUGUUGACGUA